rnacentral:rRNA from 1 species
GAUGAACGCUGGCGGCGUGCCUAAUACAUGCAAGUCGAGCGAACGGACGAGAAGCUUGCUUCUCUGAUGUUAGCGGCGGACGGGUGGGUAACACGUGGAUAACCUACCUAUAAGACUGGGAUAACUUCGGGAAACCGGAGCUAAUACCGGAUGAUAUUUUGAACCGCAUGGUUCAAAAGUGAAAGACGGUCUUGCUGUCACUUAUAGAUGGAUCCGCGCUGCAUUAGCUAGUUGGUAAGGUAAUGGCUUACCAAGGCAACGAUGCAUAGCCGACCUGAGAGGGUGAUCGGCCACACUGGAACUGAGACACGGUCCAGACUCCUACGGGAGGCAGCAGUAGGGAAUCUUCCGCAAUGGGCGAAAGCCUGACGGAGCAACGCCGCGUGAGUGAUGAAGGUCUUCGGAUCGUAAAACUCUGUUAUUAGGGAAGAACAUAUGUGUAAGUAACUGUGCACAUCUUGACGGUACCUAAUCAGAAAGCCACGGCUAACUACGUG